GUGCUGUGACCUCAUACUGAAACUGUGAACAAUAGCACAGCUAGCUAUGUGAAUCAUAACAGUGUGACUGAAAAAGGUGUAUUCUCUGUAUCAGCAAAUGCUAUGGGUGACUUUGUACUAUGGUCAUAUGUAGGCUUGGACUGCCAAGUUAUUUCAUAAAAAACAACAAUGAUUUAUAUUCAUCAUCCAAAAUCUGCAGAAGCUUAUGUGAAUAUAUUGAUAGAAAUGUAGCUGCCAAGCACCCAUAAGUCCCCAUGGCUGCCUUGAUGGCUGUACAGUCCUCUGCAAACCACUCAGUAUCAGCUGGAACUCUUCAGUGUGUAUGAGACAGAGACAGCUUCAGCGGGAAAGGUACAAGAGAUCCCAUCUCACGGAGAGAAAAGCCCACAGAAAGGCAAGAGGUCUCCUUGAGAAUCCUUAUUCCACUAGACUUCCAGCCUUGUUUCCAGAGAGUAGAGGGCAGGCACACCCACAAUGUGGGAGAGGAAACAGAAGUAAAGCAAUAUGCCCAAGAUUACAGAGGAAGCCUGCAGCUGAGCAAGCAAGGAACUCUGGACUUGUGGCUUCAGGACCAGUGCCUUCUCUUCCCUUCCAAGAAUUUGUAGGAAGUAUUCUACCUUGCAAAUUUCAGGCAUAAUGGGAUUUGUAAUUUUGGAAUUUAUGAUACAUUUUGCUUUGAUUCCUCUGCCAUUCUGCCCUUUCUUUUAUUUUAUCAUAUGAAAUGUUUGUGGAUACUAUCUGCCUACUUCUCUUAUUAUAAACUAGGGAUGUAGAAUGCCUGCAGAUUUUUUCCUGUACUUUAAAAAUUAUAUACAUAGUUAAGACUGGAAUUUUUCUUGCUGUCUUUUAUAUUUUCUAGGCCUGAGGCAUCCUGUAAUACUGUAGUUUAGCUAGUAAAUAAUAAUUUCCUUAAUUUUCCACUGUGAAUAGUAAGUUAGAACCAGUGUUAAUGUCAAUUAAGACAAAAGAGUGAUAAAAAUAAAACAAUCUUUCAUGGUUCUUAAAUCUAAUAGGAAAAAGUAGUAAGGAAUCAUCCUCAGAGAUUGUUCAAGAGUGAUGUAAUUUUGCUGGUACUCAGACACCAUGGGAAAGAAAACCUUGGAAAUACUUAAAUAUAAAGCUCCAGUUGAUUUUAGGAGAGAUUGCACAUUAGGGUGGAAUUUGGCCUUUCUAAUUCGCAGUGGUCUUAUGAUCAGACUCAGGCUUAUUUCAGCUCCAGCUAUAUAUGCUCCCUCUCCAAAGGCUCACUGCCAUGAUCCUUUCCAGGACUGCACAGGAGGGGCAUUUAUAAUGCAAAGUGAGGCACUGUGGCAUAGUUUAUUCCCAGUUCUGCCAUUGUCUACCUGAAUGACCUCAAAAAAUAAUUUUACCUCCUGAGUUUUUCCAUCUGUACAGCACUUUUAGAUUGACAGAGAAAAUACACUGUAUAAAAGUAAGGAAUUAUUACAGACAUGUUUUAAUGAAGUUAUUUGUUUGCAAUCAGUUGCUUGUACCACAUAGUAAGUUUAUAUUGCCUCUUUACAUUUCACAGCAACAUUUUCAGUCUCAUCAGUAGUAAGAACAGGGAGAACGUGACUAUGAAGAUGAGUCAUUUGAUCCUCUAGGAUACAGAAAUUAUAUCAAUUAUGCCUGAUAAUCCUUAUACCUGUCUCAGCCUUCUGGGAAAGAAAACUCUUGUUUUAGUUGGUCUUUUCUUAAGCAGUGGGAAUUUCCCAAGUAAUGUUAUUUAAAUACCAUCUCUAAAUAUCCAUGCUAGUUCCCAAGACUGCCAUUUGUUCUGAGGGUACAAACAGCACAGCACAUGCAUUUCUCUGGAUCAAAGCAAAGAAAUGCCUAAAGAUUUAG